rnacentral:rRNA from 1 species
UACGAAGGGGGCUAGCGUUGUUCGGAAUUACUGGGCGUAAAGAGCGCGCAGGCGGUCGUACAAGUCGCGUGUGAAAGCCCCUGGCUCAACUGGGGAGGGUCACGCGAUACUGUUCGACUUGAAGGCAGGAGAGGGAAGUGGAAUUCCCGGUGUAGUGGUGAAAUGCGUAGAUAUCGGGAGGAACACCAGUGGCGAAGGCGACUUCCUGGCCUGUUCUUGACGCUGAGGCGCGAAAGCUAGGGUAGCAAACGGG